GACGAACGCUGGCGGCGUGCUUAACACAUGCAAGUCGAACGGAAAGGCCCUGCUUUUGUGGGGUGCUCGAGUGGCGAACGGGUGAGUAACACGUGAGUAACCUGCCCUUGACUUUGGGAUAACUUCAGGAAACUGGGGCUAAUACCGGAUAGGAGCUCCUGCUGCAUGGUGGGGGUUGGAAAGUUUCGGCGGUUGGGGAUGGACUCGCGGCUUAUCAGCUUGUUGGUGGGGUAGUGGUUUACCAAGGCUUUGACGGGUAGCCGGCCUGAGAGGGUGACCGGCCACAAGGGGACUGAGAGACGGACCAGACUCGUACGGGAGGCAGCAGGGGGGAAUAUUGUACAACGGGCGGAAGCCGGAGGCAGCAACGCUGGGGGUGGGAUGACGGCCUGCGGGGUGUAAACCGCUUUCGCCUGUGACGAAGCGGGAGUGACGGUAAUGGGUAAAGAAGCACCGGCUAACUACGUG
rnacentral:rRNA from 1 species